GACACUUGACUGGUUACUCGCCACAGCAGUUUCUGGAUGAAAGGUGUCGAGCUCGUCAAGUACUAAGCUUUACACCCCCAGCAGCAAAUUUACCCUGGCAGCAUAUGGGUGAAAACGCUGGAGGAGAAAGUCAUUGCUCUGUAAUUGGCCCUUGGACUCCCCUGGCAUCUCGUGUACAGCAUGAAGUUUUCAGCUAUGAAGGUAUAUUUUAGGCCUACUUCUUAGUGUCCAGUGUUUUAAAAGUAUUGAAAAUAGUGCCUUUAGGUGAAUUUGAAUGAAAAAUAAGCCGUGAUGAAAAACAAGGCGUGAUGGAUGAGAACCAAGCCCUUAGGCAGGAGAACCAAGCUCUGAGGGAAAGCACUGCAUGAGCAGCUUCGGAUGACAGCGGCUCACUUCAAGAGCAGGUGAAGCAAGUUGGGACAAUGUUGAAGACGUUUGCUCGCACUGGGAAAUCAGGUGCAGAUCAGACCUUAAUGCUGCGACGUCGAGAGUUUGGCGAUGUUGUGCGUAGCAUGGACAACAAAAUGGACUCUAUGCUGCAACAUUUCAGUGCCAAUGUGUCUGUUGGAGAGUUAUCCCUGCCAGGGGAUCUGUUACUCCCCCUAGACACCCAGGA